GACAGAGGGGGCAAGCGUUGUCCGGAUUUACUGGGCGUAAAGCGUCCGCAGGUGGUAGCGCAAGUGGCUGCUGAAAGCGCCCGGCUUAACCGGGCGAGGCGUGGCCAAACUGCGCCACUCGAGCCGCGCAGAGGGUACUGGAAUUGCCGGUGUAGUGGUGAAAUGCGUAGAGAUCGGCAGGAACACCAAGGGGGAAGCCAGGUACCUGGGCGCGCGCUGACACUCAGGGACGAGAGCGUGGGGAGCGAACUGG
rnacentral:misc_RNA from 1 species